AUCACUUGUACAUUUGAACCGAUUCAGCCAGUGUUGGAUGUACCCUACAGUGAAAAGUAUGAGAGUCGCCCACCUAACCAAUCUCCUAACCCUUCUGUGUCUGCUGUGCCACACGCAUCUCUACGUAUGUCAGCCAACCACUCUGAGGCAGCCAUCAGACAUGACCCCAGCCCAGGACGCUCCAACAGAGACUCCCCCACCCCUCUCAACUAACACUAACAGAGGAUUUGAGUACUUUCGCGUGUGUGGGGUGGCUGCCACGGGGGAGACCUUCAGGUUUGAUUUAGACAAAACAUGCCCCAGUACACAAGAUAAGAAGCAUGUGGAGGGCAUCUUGCUCGUGUAUAAGAUCAACAUCGUGCCCUACAUCUUCAAAAUCAGGAGAUAUAGAAAAAUAAUUACUCAACUGACCAUCUGGCGAGGCCUAACCACUAGUUCAGUCACUGGUAAAUUUGAAAUGGCCACUCAGGCCCACGAGUGGGAAGUGGGCGACUUUGACAGCAUCUAUCAGUGCUACAAUAGCGCCACCAUGGUGGUAAACAACGUCAGACAGGUGUAUGUGGACAGAGAUGGGGUCAAUAAAACUGUGAACAUACGCCCUGUUGAUGGUCUAACAGGGAAUAUCCAAAGAUACUUUAGUCAGCCCACCCUUUAUUCAGAACCUGGUUGGAUGCCUGGCUUUUAUCGUGUUCGAACCACCGUUAACUGUGAAAUUGUAGACAUGGUGGCACGCUCCAUGGAUCCCUAUAACUACAUCGCUACCGCCCUGGGAGACAGCCUGGAGCUCUCCCCGUUUCAAACCUUUGACAACACCAGCCAGUCUACUGCGCCUAAGAGAGCUGAUAUGAGGGUCAGGGAGGUCAAGAAUUACAAGUUUGUAGAUUAUAAUAACAGGGGAACUGCCCCCGCUGGACAAAGCAGGACCUUUCUAGAGACUCCCUCUGCCACUUACUCCUGGAAAACAGCCACCAGACAAACUGCCACGUGCGACCUGGUGCACUGGAAAACAUUCCCUCGCGCCAUCCAAACUGCUCAUGAACAUAGCUACCAUUUUGUGGCCAAUGAAGUCACCGCCACCUUCAAUACACCCCUGACUGAGGUAGAAAAUUUCACCAGCACGUAUAGCUGCGUCAGUGACCAGAUCAAUAAGACCAUCUCUGAAUAUAUCCAAAAGUUGAACAACUCCUACGUGGCCAGUGGGAAAACACAGUAUUUCAAGACUGAUGGUAACCUGUACCUCAUCUGGCAACCACUCGAACAUCCAGAGAUUGAAGACAUAGACGAGGACAGCGACCCAGAACCAACCCCCGCCCCACCAAAGUCCACAAGGAGAAAAAGAGAGGCAGCUGACAAUGGAAACUCAACAUCUGAGGUCUCAAAGGGCUCAGAAAAUCCGCUCAUUACGGCCCAAAUUCAAUUUGCCUAUGACAAGCUGACCACCAGCGUCAACAACGUGCUUGAGGAGUUGUCCAGGGCGUGGUGUAGAGAACAGGUCAGAGACACCCUCAUGUGGUAUGAGCUUAGCAAGGUCAACCCUACGAGUGUGAUGUCUGCCAUUUAUGGAAAGCCUGUCGCUGCCAGGUACGUGGGCGACGCCAUAUCUGUGACAGACUGUAUCUAUGUGGACCAAAGUUCAGUCAACAUCCACCAGAGCUUGCGGCUGCAGCAUGAUAAAACCACCUGCUACUCGAGACCUAGAGUCACCUUCAAAUUUAUAAACAGUACAGACCCGCUAACUGGCCAGUUGGGUCCUAGAAAAGAAAUUAUCCUCUCCAACACAAACAUAGAAACAUGCAAGGAUGAGAGUGAACACUACUUCAUUGUGGGGGAAUACAUUUACUAUUAUAAAAAUUACAUUUUUGAAGAAAAGCUAAACCUCUCAAGCAUCGCUACCCUAGACACAUUUAUAGCCCUCAAUAUCUCAUUUAUUGAAAAUAUCGACUUCAAAACAGUAGAACUGUACUCCUCUACUGAAAGGAAACUCGCAUCGAGCGUCUUUGAUAUAGAAUCCAUGUUUAGGGAAUAUAACUAUUACACCUACAGCCUCGCGGGCAUUAAGAAGGACCUAGACAACACCAUCGACUACAAUAGAGACAGACUGGUUCAGGACCUGUCAGACAUGAUGGCUGAUCUGGGAGACAUUGGAAGAUCUGUGGUGAAUGUGGUCAGCUCGGUAGUCACAUUUUUCAGUAGUAUUGUGACAGGGUUCAUUAAAUUCUUUACCAACCCUCUAGGGGGAAUAUUCAUUCUCCUAAUUAUUGGUGGAAUAAUCUUCUUGGUGGUAGUCCUAAAUAGAAGAAACUCACAGUUUCACGAUGCACCCAUCAAAAUGCUGUACCCUUCUGUUGAAAACUACGCUGCCAGACAGGCGCCACCUCCCUAUAGCGCAUCACCUCCAGCUAUAGACAAAGAGGAAAUUAAGCGCAUACUUUUGGGCAUGCAUCAGGUACACCAGGAAGAAAAGGAAGCACAGAAACAACUAACCAACUCUGGCCCUACUUUGUGGCAGAAAGCCACAGGAUUCCUUAGAAAUCGCCGGAAGGGAUACAGCCAACUUCCUCUGGAAGAUGAAUCAACUUCCCUCUAGUGGCCACCCCAUGACUCAGACACUUUAAAAACUAAUACUUUGAAUAAUAAACUGGUUUCUGUCCACCUUA
rnacentral:tmRNA from 1 species